CUACGGGAGGCUGCAGUCGAGAGUCUUCCACAAUGGGCGAAAGCCUGAUGGAGCGACGCCGCGUGCAGGAUGAAGCUCUUCGGGGCGUAAACUGCUUUUAUAAGGGAAAAAUUUCGAUGAUAUUACCUUAUGAAUAAGGGGUUGCUAAACUCGUGCCAGCAGCAGCGGUAAAACGAGUACCCCGAGCGUUAUCCGGAAUUACUGGGCGUAAAGGAUGUGUAGGUGGUCAUGUUAGUCCCGCUUUAAACAUUUCGGCUUAACCGAAAAAAUGGGUAGGAUACGGCAUGACUUUGAGAGUGUGAGAGGUUUACGGAACUCAUGGUGUAGGGGUGAAAUCCGCUGAUAUCAUGGGGAACACCAAAGGCGAAGGCAGUAAACUGGCGCACUUCUGACACUGAAACAUGAAAGCGUGGGGAGCAAAAACGGAUUAGAUACCCCAGUAGUC
rnacentral:rRNA from 1 species